AUGCAGUCGACGCCGAACCGCCUUCGGGUGGGGAGGAGUGGCGAACGGGUGAGUAACACGUGGGCAAUCUGCCCUGCACUCUGGGAUAACUCCGGGAAACCGGAGCUAAUACCGGAUACGACUCUCCAGGGCAUCCUGGGGGGUGGAAAGCUCCGGCGGUGCAGGAUGAGCCCGCGGCCUAUCAGCUGGUUGGUGGGGUGAUGGCCUACCAAGGCGACGACGGGUAGCCGGCCUGAGAGGGCGACCGGCCACACUGGGACUGAGACACGGCCCAGACUCCUACGGGAGGCAGCAGUGGGGAAUAUUGCACAAUGGGCGCAAGCCUGAUGCAGCGACGCCGCGUGAGGGAUGACGGCCUUCGGGUUGUAAACCUCUUUCAGCAGGGAAGAAGCGUGAGUGACGGUACCUGCAGAAGAAGCACCGGCUAACUACGUGCCAGCAGCCGCGGUAAUACGUAGGGUGCGAGCGUUGUCCGGGAAUUAUUGGGCGUAAAGAGCUCGUAGGCGGCUUGUCGCGUCGGAUGUGAAAGCCCGGGGCUUAACCCCGGGUCUGCAUUCGAUACGGGCAGGCUAGAGUUCGGUAGGGGAGAUCGGAAUUCCUGGUGUAGCGGUGAAAUGCGCAGAUAUCAGGAGGAA
rnacentral:rRNA from 1 species